rnacentral:rRNA from 1 species
UGCUCUUUGAGAAAUAAUUUUAAAUAUAAAGAGUACUGCCUGCCCAGUGACAUUGUUAAACGGCCGCGGUAUUUUGACCGUGCAAAGGUAGCAUAAUCAUUUGUCUUUUAAAUGAAGACUGGUAUGAAUGGCAAGACGAAAUUAGACUGUCUUUUUUUUAUGAUUUUGAAAUUAAUAUUUUUGUGAAGAAGCGAAGAUGUUAUCGUUGGACGAGAAGACCCUAUUGAGCUUAAAUAAAAGUUUUAAAUUUUUAAUAUUAUUUAGUUAAUAAAAUUUUUUAUAUUAUAAAUGAAAUUUACUAAAUGAAUAAGAUUAUUUUAUUUCAAUUAUUUUGAUUGGGGCAAUUAUGGAGAAAACGAAACCUCCAUUAUUAAUAUAUUAUAAAAAUAAAUAGUUUAGUGUAUAAAAAUUAUAUAAUUUUAGUGAUCCACUUAUUAGAGUGAUCAAAGGAACAAGUUACCAUAGGGAUAACAGCGUAAUUUUUUUGAAGAGUUCAUAUUGAUAAAAAAGUUUGCGACCUCGAUGUUGGAUCGGGAUAUCCAGAAGAUGCAGCAGUUUUCAAAGGUUGGUCUGUUCGACCAUUAAAAUCCU